rnacentral:rRNA from 1 species
UACGGGGGGGGUAAGCGUUGUUCGGAAUUACUGGGCGUAAAGGGCUCGUAGGCGGCCAACUAAGUCAGACGUGAAAUCCCUCAGCUUAACUGGGGAACUGCGUCUGAUACUGGAUGGCUUGGAUCCGGGAGAGGGAUGCGGAAUUCCAGGUGUAGCGGUGAAAUGCGUAGAUAUCUGGAGGAACACCGGUGGCGAAGGCGGCAUCCUGGACCGGUAUUGACGCUGAGGAGCGAAAGCUAGGGGAGCAAACGGG